rnacentral:miRNA from 1 species
AGAUCGAUGGCUGAACAAGUUAGA